GAUGAACGCUGGCGGCGUGCCUAAUACAUGCAAGUCGAGCGAACGGACGAGAAGCUUGCUUCUCUGAUGUUAGCGGCGGACGGGUGAGUAACACGUGAGUAACCUGCCCUUGACUUUGGGAUAACUUCAGGAAACUGGGGCUAAUACCGGAUAGGAGCUCCUGCUGCAUGGUGGGGGUUGGAAAGUUUCGGCGGUUGGGGAUGGACUCGCGGCUUAUCAGCUUGUUGGUGGGGUAGUGGCUUACCAAGGCUUUGACGGGUAGCCGGCCUGAGAGGGUGACCGGCCACAUUGGGACUGAGAUACGGCCCAGACUCCUACGGGAGGCAGCAGUGGGGAAUAUUGCACAAUGGGCGGAAGCCUGAUGCAGCAACGCCGCGUGCGGGAUGACGGCCUUCGGGUUGUAAACCGCUUUCGCCUGUGACGAAGCGUGAGUGACGGUAAUGGGUAAAGAAGCACCGGCUAACUACGUGCCAGCAGCCGCGGUGAUACGUAGGGUGCGAGCGUUGUCCGGAUUUAUUGGGCGUAAAGGGCUCGUAGGUGGUUGAUCGCGUCGGAAGUGUAAUCUUGGGGCUUAACCCUGAGCGUGCUUUCGAUACGGGUUGACUUGAGGAAGGUAGGGGAGAAUGGAAUUCCUGGUGGAGCGGUGGAAUGCGCAGAUAUCAGGAGGAACACCAGUGGCGAAGGCGGUUCUCUGGGCCUUUCCUGACGCUGAGGAGCGAAAGCGUGGGGAGCGAACAGGCUUAGAUACCCUGGUAGUCCACGCUGUAAACGGUGGGUACUAGGUGUGGGGUCCAUUCCACGGGUUCCGUGCCGUAGCUAACGCUUUAAGUACCCCGCCUGGGGAGUACGGCCGCAAGGCUAAAACUCAAAGGAAUUGACGGGGCCCCGCACAAGCGGCGGAGCAUGCGGAUUAAUUCGAUGCAACGCGUAGAACCUUACCUGGGUUUGACAUGGAUCGGGAGUGCUCAGAGAUGGGUGUGCCUCUUUUGGGGUCGGUUCACAGGUGGUGCAUGGCUGUCGUCAGCUCGUGUCGUGAGAUGUUGGGUUAAGUCCCGCAACGAGCGCAACCCUUGUUCACUGUUGCCAGCACGUUAUGGUGGGGACUCAGUGGAGACCGCCGGGGUCAACUCGGAGGAAGGUGGGGAUGACGUCAAGUCAUCAUGCCCCUUAUGUCCAGGGCUUCACGCAUGCUACAAUGGCUGGUACAGAGAGUGGCGAGCCUGUGAGGGUGAGCGAAUCUCGGAAAGCCGGUCUCAGUUCGGAUUGGGGUCUGCAACUCGACCUCAUGAAGUCGGAGUCGCUAGUAAUCGCAGAUCAGCAACGCUGCGGUGAAUACGUUCCCGGGGCU
rnacentral:rRNA from 1 species